rnacentral:rRNA from 1 species
GACGAACGCUGGCGGCGUGCUUAACACAUGCAAGUCGAACGGAAAGGCCCUUCGGGGUACUCGAGUGGCGAACGGGUGCGUAACACGUGGGUGAUCUGCCCUGCACUUUGGGAUAAGCCUGGGAAACUGGGUCUAAUACCGAAUAGGACCACGCGCUUCAUGGUGUGUGGUGGAAAGCUUUUGCGGUGUGGGAUGGGCCCGCGGCCUAUCAGCUUGUUGGUGGGGUAAUGGCCUACCAAGGCGACGACGGGUAGCCGGCCUGAGAGGGUGACCGGCCACACUGGGACUGAGAUACGGCCCAGACUCCUACGGGAGGCAGCAGUGGGGAAUAUUGCACAAUGGGCGCAAGCCUGAUGCAGCGACGCCGCGUGAGGGAUGACGGCCUUCGGGUUGUAAACCUCUUUCAAUAGGGACGAAGCGCAAGUGACGGUACCUAGAGAAGAAGCACCGGCCAACUACGUG